rnacentral:lncRNA from 1 species
UUUCCUUUCCCCGGGCGCUCUCGGGCGCUCCCGGGCGCUUUUUAGUGGGACCGUGAAUUGGGUAUCGGGACAACUCGCCCUUUUUACAUGUUCGCCCGUGGUCUGUUCGUCCUGAGUUCUUUCGCCCGUAUAGCCCUGUGGUCAUUCUCUUUACUCUUAUCAAGGACGUUUUAUAAAUUCGUUGCAUUUAUUAAAAAAUAUCAAUAUUAGACAAUCGUGUUCAGCCAAUCAAAUUCUGUGUUUCUCAUGAUCAAUUAAUAAGCCAAUCAAAAACGUUUUUUUUGAAGAUUAUUCUCACAUGCUAGAUUUUGAACUUGUGUUGUUUUCAUCUAGUUGUAAAAUCGCCAGUGAACAUGGCAUGUGAAUUUUCAUCUGCAAGCAGGUUCUUACACAGCUGAAGGAUAAAAGCAUGGCUGAUUGACAAAAUUCAAUGAUGCAGUACUACCAUAAAGAUGAUAAAUAGUAAUAUUUACACUAAUUUUAAUACUUGU